rnacentral:rRNA from 1 species
AUUGAACGCUGGCGGCAUGCUUUACACAUGCAAGUCGAACGGUAACAGGUUAAGCUGACGAGUGGCGAACGGGUGAGUAAUGCAUCGGAACGUGCCCGAUCGUGGGGGAUAACGCAGCGAAAGCUGCGCUAAUACCGCAUACGAUCUGAGGAUGAAAGCGGGGGACCGUAAGGCCUCGCGCGAUCGGAGCGGCCGAUGUCAGAUUAGGUAGUUGGUGGGGUAAAGGCCCACCAAGCCGACGAUCUGUAGCUGGUCUGAGAGGACGACCAGCCACCCUGGGGCAGAGACACGGCCCAGACUCCGACGGGAGGCAGCAGUGGGGAAUUUUGGACAAUGGGCGAAAGCCUGAUCCAGCAAUGCCGCGUGCAGGAAGAAGGCCUUCGGGUUGUAAACUGCUUUUGUACGGAGCGAAAAGGUCCUUUCUAAUACAGGGGGCUCAUGACGGUACCGUAAGAAUAAGCACCGGCUAACUACGUGCCAGCAGCCGCCGUAA